rnacentral:rRNA from 1 species
GAUGAACGCUGGCGGCGUGCCUAAUACAUGCAAGUCGAGCGAACAGAUGAGGAGCUUGCUCCUCUGACGUUAGCGGCGGACGGGUGAGUAACACGUGGAUAACCUACCUAUAAGACUGGGAUAACUUCGGGAAACCGGAGCUAAUACCGGAUAAUAUAUUGAACCGCAUGGUUCAAUAGUGAAAGACGGAUUUGCUGUCACUUAUAGAUGGAUCCGCGCCGCAUUAGCUAGUUGGUAAGGUAACGGCUUACCAAGGCAACGAUGCGUAGCCGACCUGAGAGGGAGAUCGGCCACACUGGAACUGAGACACGGUCGAGACUCCUACGGGAGGCAACAGUAGGGAAUCUUCCGCAAUGGGCGAAAGCCUGACGGAGCAACGCCGCGUGAGUGAUGAAGGUCUUCGGAUCGUAAAACUCUGUUAUUAGGGAAGAACAAAUGUGUAAGUAACUAUGCACGUCUUGACGGUACCUAAUCAGAAAGCCACGGCUAACUACGUG